GUCCACGCCGUAACUAUGAUCACUCGUUGUUGGCGAUAUACAGCCAGCGGCUGAGCAAAGCAUUAAGUGAUCCACCUGGGAGUACGACGGCAACGUUGAAACUCAAAGGAAUUGACGGGGCCCGCACAAGCGGAGGAACAUGUGGUUUAAUUCGAUGAUACGCGAGGAACCUUACCUGGGCUUAAAUGAGGAGCGACCGGUGCCGAAAGGUGCCUUCCCGCAAGGGCGGUCUUCAAGGUGCUGCAUGGUUGUCGU
rnacentral:rRNA from 1 species